GGAGGUGGGUGAGAAAGCCGGGGUGGAGGGUGCAGCCUUAACAUUUGUGCUUUGUCAGGAGCCACCUUCAUCUGUCCAGAGACUUCUCGGCAAGGCUGCAGAGCUCACUACCAAGGCUGAGGCUGGCUAGGCAGCAGUGCAGGGGAGGAGGACACUGUGAAGUCCCAGCUGUCCACAUCAGGGCCUUUCAGUUUCUGCAUCACUCCUGGGUGUAUUUUAUCUUUGCCAGAACCACAGAAGGAGGAAGCGGCUGAGACAAAGGCUGACUGCAAAGCCAAUUUCUAUUCCUAGCCUGUGGGUGACCCUGGCAAGUGACCUUGAUCAGGCCAUUAACUCCCGCACAGUGUGAUUAUACUAGAUUCCAACCUAGGCCAAGCAACUCCUGUGAAAACUUAUGUUGGAAUUUUAAAGUGUUCCAUUUAGGGAGAAACCUUUGGAGUCUGGCUGUCUGCGGCUCUUCCAUGUCUAUGAUGUGCUGAGCACUGUCAUGCUCACUGCAGCAUUACGAGGUACUGUUGAAGAAACAGAACCAGAAAAGUUAAAUAACUUCCCUAAAGUUGUACAAUUAAUAAACUAGAGACCUCUGUUUGAAUUCUGGCCCCCUGAGUCCUGAAUCUGCUAUUAUCUACAAUGUUGGAGCAUACUUAACAACCAGAUAGUCAUUGCUGAGGCCAAGCUGGGAGGUUUGGGAGGUCCUGAAUCACAGAAGGAAAGAAGAUAGUUAGGUGCUAACUUAGUGAUACCAAAGUACUUUUGGAAAUCUGCA
rnacentral:lncRNA from 1 species